GGAAGGUUCGCAUAGUGGUCUAGUGCACACGCUUGGAAAGCGUGCAUACCGCAAGGUAUCGAGGGUUCGAAUCCCUCACCUUCCGCCA
rnacentral:tRNA from 1 species